UCGCUCCUACCGAUUGAGUGGUCCGGUGAAUCUUUCGGACUGUUCUAAACUUCGUGUUUAGUUACGGAAAGUCAGGUAAACCUUAUCACUUAGAGGAAGGAG
rnacentral:rRNA from 1 species